AGAAAGUGAAAUUCUUGGGGCUGCUAACUUCAAGACUUGCAAUUUUAUUGUAACAUUUUCUU
rnacentral:tRNA from 1 species